rnacentral:rRNA from 1 species
AACGCUGGCGGCGUGCCUAACACAUGCAAGUCGAACGAGAAAGCGGAGCAAUCCAUGAGUACAGUGGCGACCGGGUGAGUAACACGUGACCAACCUACCCUCGAGUGGGGAAUAACUCCGGGAAACCGGAGCUAAUACCGCAUAACAUCUUCGGAACUCAGGUUCUGAUGAUCAAAGGAGCAAUUCGCUUGAGGAGGGGGUCGCGGCUGAUUAGCUAGUUGGCGGGGUAAUGGCCCACCAAGGCUUAGAUCGGUAUCCGGCCUGAGAGGGCGCACGGACACACUGGAACUGAAACACGGUCCAGACUCCUACGGGAGGCAGCAGUGGGGAAUUUUGCGCAAUGGGGGAAACCCUGACGCAGCAACGCCGCGUGGAGGAUGAAGUCCCUUGGGACGUAAACUCCUUUCGACCGGGAAGAUACUGACGGCACCGGAUGAAG